UACGUAGGGGGCAAGCGUUGUCCGGAUUUAUUGGGCGUAAAGAGCGUGUAGGCGGUUUGGUAGGUCCGCUGUGAAAACUCGAGGCUCAACCUCGAGACGCCGGUGGAAACCAUCAGGCUAGAGUCCGGAAGAGGCGAGUGGAACUCCUGGUGUAGCGGUGAAAUGCGCAGAUAUCAGGAGGAACACCAAUGGCGAAGGCAGCUCGCUGGGACGGUACUGACGCUGAGACGCGAAAGCGUGGGGAGCAAACAGG
rnacentral:rRNA from 1 species